rnacentral:rRNA from 1 species
AGUCCCGCAAGGGAUCAGUAGAGUGGCAAACGGGUGAGUAACGCGUGGGUGACCUACCUUCGAGUGGGGGAUAACCUUCCGAAAGGAGGGCUAAUACCGCAUGACAGCCUCUGAAUAGAUACAGGGGACUCAAAGCCGGGGAUCGCAAGACCUGGCGCUUGGAGAGGGGCCCGCGUCCGAUUAGCUAGUUGGUGGGGUAAUGGCUCACCAAGGCUCCGAUCGGUAUCCGGCCUGAGAGGGCGGACGGACACACUGGAACUGAGACACGGUCCAGACUCCUACGGGAGGCAGCAGUGGGGAAUUUGUUCGCAUGGGCGCAAGCCUGACGACGCAACGCCGCGUGGAGGAUGAAGACCUUCGGGUCGUANACUCCUUUCGACCGAGAUGAAUUCUCACUGACCUAACACGUCGGUGGGGUGACAGUAUCGAGGGAAGCAGCCCCGGCUAACUCCGUGCCAGCAGCCGCGGUAAUACGGGGGGGGCAAGCGUUGUUCGGAAUUACUGGGCGUAAAGGGUUAGUAGGUGGCCAACUAAGUCAGACGUGAAAUCCCUCAGCUUAACUGGGGAACUGCGUCUGAGACUGAUUGGCUCGAGGACAGGAGAGGAACGCGGAAUUCCAGGUGUAGCGGUGAAAUGCGUAGAUAUCUGGAGGAACCCGGGUGGCGAAGGCGGCGUUCUGGACUGUUUCUGACACUGAAUAACGAAAGCCAGGGGAGCAAACG